GUAUCACAUCAAGAAUGAACUCUAACGUAAACUAUGGACUUUGGGUUGUCAUAACCUGUUAAUGAAGGCUGACCAGCUGUAACAAAUGAACCACUCCAGUGGGGGAUGAUGAAAAAAGAAAGCUGAGAGAAUUCAUAGCCAGCAGAUCCUCACUCCAAGAAAUGCUAAAGGAAGUUCUUCAGACUAAAGGGAAAUGAUAACAGAUGGAAACUUAGCUGUACAGAGAGAAAUCAAUACUACCAGAGUAAAUAUGUGGAAGACUUGCCUAAGAAUGUUCGUCGCAACUUAUUCAUAACAAUCCCAAGCUGGAAACAAUUCUACAGUCCACCAGCAGGAGAAUGGGUAAAGUCGUGUCAUGGUCACAGAAUUGAAUUCACUAAGCAACAUAAAGACCACUACUAACACCCAGCAACACAGAUAAAUCUUAAACCCAUUAUGUUGUCAGACACAAAUCACUGCACACCAUAUGAAUUCAUUUAAAUGACAUCUAAGAACACACAAAAAUAAUCUAUUGUGAUAGAAUAGGAUUUGCUUUUUGAAGGAUGAUUGACUGCAACAGGGCACAAACGAACUUUAUAGGGUGAGGAAAAUGUACAUUUCUGUUAGGGUGUUGUUACAGGUGUCUAUGUCUGUCAGAAGCCAUUGGACUUGCACUCAUUGAUGGUACAUUUCACUCUAUAAAUUUUGCCUAUGUCAAAAAUCAAACUCAAAAAAUCAUAAUGAUUGAGUGAAUUCACAGCUUGGGCAGAAAUUUUAUUCUGAGUAUCAUAUAAAAGGAAGAGAUGUAAAAUAUGAAAUAAAUAUUGUAAACUUGGCCAGAUGUUAUCAUGUCGGGAUGCU